rnacentral:rRNA from 1 species
UACGAAGGGAGCUAGCGUUGUUCGGAAUUAUUGGGCGUAAAGGGCGUGUAGGCGGUCUAGUAAGUUAGAUGUGAAAUACCUGGGCUUAACCUAGGAAUGGCAUUUAAUACUGCUAGUCUAGAGUGUGAGAGGGUGGAGCGGAACGGCGAGUGGAGCAGUGAAAUGCGUUGAUAUUCGUUGGAACACCGGGGGCGAAGGCGGCUCCAUGGCUCACUACUGACGCUGAGACGCGAAAGCGUGGGGAGCAAACAGG